rnacentral:rRNA from 1 species
UCGAGAAUCUUCGGCAAUGGGCGCAAGCCCGACCGAGCGACGCCGCGUGGAGGACGAAGGCCUUCGGGUUGUAAACUCCUGUCGGGGGGGAACAAGGGGGCGUGCAGAACGUCUCUUGAGUGAUCCCCGGAGGAAGCACGGGCUAAGUUCGUGCCAGCAGCCGCGGUAAGACGAACCGUGCGAACGUUAUUCGGAAUUACUGGGCUUAAAGCGCGUGUAGGCGGGCCGGCACGUCGGUCGCUGAAAGCCCCCGGCUCAACCGGGGAAGCGGCGCCGAUACGACCGGCCUGGAGGGGGGUAGGGGGACCUGGAACUUCCGGUGGAGCGGUGAAAUGCGUUGAGAUCGGAAGGAACGCCCGUGGCGAAAGCGAGGUCCUGGACCCUUUCUGACGCUGAGACGCGAAAGCCAGGGGAGCGAACGG